CCUCAUGCUUCAGCAAGAAUAAAGAGCACGGCUUUUCAAGCGGAUAGCUUCUCCUGUCUUCCCUCAUAUCAUGACAGGCAUAAAAGAAAACUCCACUCCGCGUUUUCCAGGCGACCCACAACAGAGUCCCAAACAACAGACCUCAGCUGCACACGACGUUUAGCAACCGGUAGCAGAAACGCGGAUAUAAACAGGGCGUUCCAACCGGAAACGACUGAGCUCGGCGGCCAUGUUGCCAGAGGAUGUAUGCCCCAAAAGAAAAUGGGGCGUGUUGGAUAAGAGUCGUGCAGAACAGCUGGAUGGAUCACAGUCCUUUUUUUGUGUUGGCGUGAAACAGAAAAUGAAGAAUGCAAAGGCUCAGUCCUCUGCUUGAGUACAAACGACUCGUAACACAUGUGCCGCCGUUCCUGAUUGUGCUCCAGCAACACGUUAUCUGUCGUCAUUGUGUUUGGGGGACAUUACGACGAGACUUUACGAUCACGGAGUUAAAAUGAUGGAAGGCCUCCAUUGGAAAA